rnacentral:rRNA from 1 species
UACGUAGGGUGCGAGCGUUAAUCGGAAUCACUGGGCGUAAAGCGCACGUAGGCGGACUCUUAAGUCGGUGGUGAAAUCCUGGAGCUCAACUCCAGAACUGCCUUCGAUACUGGGAGUCUCGAGUCCGGGAGAGGUGAGUGGAACUGCGAGUGUAGAGGUGAAAUCGUAGAUAUUCGCAAGACACCAGUGGCGAAGGCGGCUCACUGGCCCGGUACUGACGCUGAGGUGCGAAAGCGUGGGGAGCAAACAGG